AAUGACUCAUUCGCUUGU
rnacentral:snRNA from 1 species